GAGAGAGGCUCGCCAGCAACGAAGACUGCUAAUCUCCGCGACCCUGGUUGGACCCCCGGGCUCCCUCG
rnacentral:tRNA from 1 species